AAUUUAUUAGAUAAUAAGCCUUAAUUAGAUUGAUUAUAAUUUUAAAAGGAUGAAAAUGUCGAAUGACGUAGUUUCUCAAUUUUUUUUUGAUGUAUGAAGACUAACAAAUUAUUUUAAUUAUGACCGAAUUAAAACUUUAGAGUUCGAUUUAUUAUAAUAAAAUUUUAUAUUUUAAUACGUUACCAAGUCAAAUUCGGAUUUUUUUUUGUAAUUUUCUCUGUUAUUAUUAUAUGUGUCCACGUGGAAAGUGCACGUGCAUGAGGUCAAAUACUGGCGCAAAGUCAAAUAGUCAUAAAUCACCGGUCCAUUUCAAAUAACUUCAUGGUUAAGUUAUGACCAGAUGGGUUGAUCUCAGCGGUUGAAUGCUCAAAAGAUCUCAUGAUUAUUGUCAUGAUCUCAGUGAUCUGGUGCACAAGCGGGUCCCAUGUAUGUACAACUCUUUAUGCUAGUCGCAACGAGUUAGUCCUGAUUGCAAACUUCAGAAUUACUUCACCCCAUUCCCACUUCAAAUGAUCCGAAUUCCAGUACAAACAUCCCUGUACCAAGAAAAAAUAUAGGUGAAAUUCUUGUAGGGAAAAUGUUAAGACGGGCUCGAGCCCGUAGUACUCGAAUCCGUGGUAUUACCACGGAUUUACCUACGUGACGCGUCCACAUCUACUCAUUUGGGGUGGACCCCACUUUAAAAAAAAUAAAAAAUAAAAUAAAUAAAUAAAAAAUAAAAAAUAAAAAUAGUGAGGUCCACCUUAAAUGGGUGAAUAUGAGCUCGCCACGUAGGCGAGCCCGUUUUAACAUUGCCCUUCUUGUAGUCUGGGUAGUACAUCCCUCGUGUAUGAAUAUCAGCACAUAGGCAUCAUUUGGCAUCACUUUUUUUUUAAUUUUUUUAUAGUUUUUUUAUUUAAAAUAAAUAAAAAAGCCAAUUAGGCUUAGCUUUUUUGUUUUUUAUUUUUAUUUUUUUGCUUAGUUUUAAAUAAAAUAAAGUCACAAAAGCAAAAAAAAAUAAAAAAAUCUUGACUUUUUUAAUAGCAAGCUUAAAAAAAAUUUGGCUUCUAAGCAUUAGCAAACAGAACCAUAAUCUCGUGGGUUGUGAAUUAUUUAAUUUAUUUCGCAUAGCAUACACUAUUAACGAAGAAUGAGAAAAGACUAUUUUAUCCUUGUAUUUAUAACUUAACACUCAAUCAACGUCAUCAUUCACAGUCGAUCGAUCGCAGAUAAAAUUUAAAGAGAGACUAAGAAUUUAAAAAAAAAAACACUAGGGCUUUGAACGCGGUCAAUUCGGGUUUGAUUAAGGUGGGAAACUCCUUUGAUUUAUAUAAAAGAAUCCUUUUAUCCCAAACGACGUUGACGUUAUUUAACUUCAGUUUUUUUCAAAAUUAAGAGUAAAAAAAAAGGAUAUUUUUUUAUUAUCUCAAAUCGUGCCCAAGUCUUCAAAUGGAUGAGCCCAUCCACCAUUAUGUGCAUGUGAUCGUACACUUUAGGUGAAGUAGCAAAUCACUGGAAAAUGGUGCAAAUUCAUAUCAAUUCAAAAACAUAUCAAAUGGACUUGUUCAAAUCAUGUUGCAUUAUUUUGUCAAUCAAAAAUAGUAAAGACAACACGUUUUUUUUAAUCAUGGUUAUAUUAUAUGCGAUAGGUGAAGGCCGAUUAUAUCGAGUAUACGUACACAAAAUGCAUUAUUAUAGACGAGCUAUUUUAUCAUAGGUAGUUUAGUAUAAGAUUCAUAUCCGAUUAGCGCAAUUUUAAGUGGAAAUGGCAAAAUAAGUGAAAAAUGGAGGAAAUAAUAUCAAGUAAGCAGAAUUUUUUGGAAAUUUUUUUCAGCGCACAUGAAAUGGGGAAAAGGGAGCAUGAAACUCUGCCUAUUUUUGAAAUAAGAUCUCUCCCUCUCUCCAAUGCUUUUGCCCUACCUUGUAAAAAUUAACCUGGACAUGUGUUUGUGGGCAUGAUGAAGAAGUGUCAAUUAACUCAUGGGGUGGUUAAGCGAGGAAGACCUUGAGCUAUUAUCUUUUAAGUCCGCAAUUCGAAAUUUUUCAGUAGCCAGUCAGUUGGGCAUUAGUACAGAAUUUGGUAGGACAAACUUUUCAAGUCUAGACGAAUCGUAGACAAUGUGGAGUGGAGAUUUGAAUUUCCGUCGAUGUAGAGUGUCUUUUUGAAUGGAUACAAUUUAUCUUUGCAAUAUAAAUUUUGGACAGCAUAGCGAGAUUCAAACAUUUGGGGGCCUAUUUUGAGCCAAUUUUAAUGAUUUAAAACGUCAUAUUGUAAAUCUCAUUGAGAAGUUCAAUAUCAUAAAAAAUUGUAUUGAUCGGAUAAUAAUCAAUAGUCGGUGAAUAUCAAUUUAAGUCAACAUAAAUAUGUAUAAUUAUGUGAGUCACACUCAUUUAUUAAGUUAUAACACAAUACUGAACUGAUAUUGAUUUGUAUCCAAUCAACAUAAUUUUGACUGUAUUGAUCUUCACAACAAAAUUUACACACAUCGGAGUCAACAAUAUAAAUGGUUCCAAAAUGUUU
rnacentral:lncRNA from 1 species